rnacentral:rRNA from 1 species
UAGGAAUUGGCGGGGGAGCACACAAGGGGUGCGGCGUGCGGUUUAAUCUAACUCAACGCAGAGAACCUUACUAGAAGCGACGGCAGGAAGAAGGUCUGGCUGAAGACUAUACCUGACGAGCCGAGAGGUAGUGCAUGGCCGUCGUCAGCUCGUGCUGUAAAGUGUCCAGUUAAGUCUGGCAACGAGCGAGACCUAUACCCUCUAUUGCUAACGGCAACAUGUUGGACCGAGCACUUUGAGGGGACUGCCUUGGAAACAAGGAGGAAGGUGUAGGCAACGGUAGGUCUGUAUGCUCCGAAUCUUCUAGGCUACACGCGCGCAACAAUGGUAAUGACAAUGGGUCGCAACUCCGAAAGGAGAAGCUAAUCCUCGAAACAUUAUCUCAGUUCGGAUUGUGGGUUGUAACUCACCCACAUGACGCCGGNAAUCCCUAGUAAUCAGACGUCAUCAUCGUUUGGUGAAUAUGUCCCUGCUCCUUGCACACACCGCCCGUCAAACCAACCNGAGCAGGAUUUUGGUAAAAUUUACUUUUUUGAGUAAAUUGAAACUAAG